GACGAACGCUGGCGGCGUGCUUAACACAUGCAAGUCGAACGGAAAGGCCCUGCUUUUGUGGGGUGCUCGAGUGGCGAACGGGUGAGUAACACGUGAGUAACCUGCCCUUGACUUUGGGAUAACUUCAGGAAACUGGGGCUAAUACCGGAUAGGAGCUCCUGCUGCAUGGUGGGGGUUGGAAAGUUUCGGCGGUUGGGGAUGGACUCGCGGCUUAUCAGCUUGUUGGUGGGGUAGUGGCUUACCAAGGCUUUGACGGGUAGCCGGCCUGGGAGGGUGACCGGCCACAUUGGGACUGGGAUACGGCCCAGACUCCUACGGGAGGCAGCAGUGGGGAAUAUUGCACAAUGGGCGGAAGCCUGAUGCAGCAGCGCCGCGUGCGGGAUGACGGCCUUCGGGUUGUAAACCGCUUUCGCCUGUGACGAAGCGUGAGUGACGGUAAUGGGUAAAGAAGCACCGGCUAACUACGUG
rnacentral:rRNA from 1 species